rnacentral:rRNA from 1 species
UCAGUUCAGAUUGCAGGCUGCAACUCGCCUGCAUGAAGUCGGAAUUGCUAGUAAUCGUAGGUCAGCAUACUACGGUGAAUACGUUCCCGGGCCUUGUACACACCGCCCGUCAAACCAUGAGAGUUGGCAACACCCGAAGUCGGUAGUCUAACCGCAAGGAGGACGCCGCCGAAGGUGGGGUUGAUGAUUAGGGUUAAGUCGUAACAAGGUAAC